UACGUAGGUGGCGAGCGUUGUCCGGAUUUACUGGGCGUAAAGCGCGCGCAGGCGGUUCGUUAAGUCCGGUGUGAAAGCUCCCGGCUCAACUGGGAGAGGUCAUUGGAUACUGGCGGACUUGAGGGAUGCAGAGGAAGGUGGAAUUCCCGGUGUAGUGGUGAAAUGCGUAGAGAUCGGGAGGAACACCAGUGGCGAAGGCGGCCUUCUGGGCAUUUCCUGACGCUGAGGCGCGAAAGCGUGGGGAGCGAACCGG
rnacentral:rRNA from 1 species